AUAAGUAAGCAUUCAUUUUCCUAUUACAUAUGUAGGAUAUUGAAAGGUUUCUAAUAAUGAAGGGUUUUUUAUAGGUCACCCUUUAUACUUUGUUAUUAACACAUUGAUGUUGGCAUCGUUACAUUAACCCACAUGGAGCUCCAGACCAGUUGAAACCAGUUAGGGGGUGGUUCAAGGACUUAAUUAGCAUUUUUCCACUGAAAAACAAAGCCUUGAAUCAUCUUGCUGCCAGGAGCAGGGAGACUGACACUGACCACUCAAAAUGUAGAUUUCUGGAAGAUCACCAUUUAAGGUGUGGUGCUGGAGGGAGUGGCUCCCAUUGGCCCAAACCAGGUGGAGCCACCUUCAAAAGCACCAUGAGGACUUCCAGCCCACGAGAGGGGAGCUGGGCUGCAACCAGUCUCCACUGCAGCUCAGUGCUCUUCUCCACCUCUUUUAGUUUCUGUGCACAUUGUAGUUUGUUUGGUGUUUUGUUUUGGUCCCACUCUGUUUUUGGUGUUUGUGUUAGUUGUGUUAAUUAAGUGAAGCUGUAGGGGUGAACCGCCAUUUUCUUUAGUAAAUGUUUUCUCCUGUUUCUGUUAGUCCAGGGAGGUUAGUGUUUGUCAUUCUUUUACUGUUUCUUUUGCAGGUAAGCUCCCUGGGUUGAGUUAGUUGGGGUUUUGUUUGUUGUUUUGGCCUGGGUUCACCCUGAAGCCUCAAAGCUUCACUUUGAGUUAUUGAUUUGUUUAGUGUUGUAAAUAAAUUUGUUAUAAUUUUAUGGAGACAUUUGUUUUUAUUUUCCUUUAUUUUACCUUUAUGCUACGCCUCACACCCCUCGACCAAACGGGGCGUAACAGAUCAUCUUUGAUCUAUUAAAGUAUUUCCAGUGGUCUUUUAAUUCCGAUUAUGCUGUUUUGAGGAAAAAUAAAAUGAGUUGUUUUUAGGACAUAAUUUCAUUAGUUCAUUAGAAAUUUGCCUCUGAGUUGCGCGCUGGACUGUUGUUGCAGCAUCUGUCUCUAACGCUAGCUUACAGCUCUUCACAACCUCAACCUAACAUAACUGGUGCAACGAAUAUGUCAAUCAAUAUUGGAGUUAUCCAGCAUCCAAUUUUGAGGCAAUUUCAGCUCGGCCAAGGAAAACAAAGACGCAUAUGGAUCUAUUUAUCCGCAAGUGGAUGCAUCAGAA
rnacentral:lncRNA from 1 species